rnacentral:sRNA from 1 species
UGGUCUAGAGAUCAAUGACAAAAUCAAACAAGCGAAGUGUGACAAAUGCCUUAUAAUCUUCGUUGACAAGCAGUUUGUAGUUUGUUUAAAAAUGGCUGCCAGACGAAUAAAUCAACACUUUUCUAAAAGUUUAAUAUAUGCAGCCAUUGUGCGGUUAGAAAAACGUUAACUGAAAUACAUUUUAGAUCUAUAUGUGAAGCCUAAAAAUGGAUAGUCCUAGAGACAUCCAAAACCAGAUUACAGUUAAACUAACAGAGGAUGGCUUGAAUCCUGUGUCCAGUGAUUUGGAGAAAUUGUUAUUUCUAUGGAAACUUUAUCAACAGC